CUACGUGCCAGCAGCCGCGGUAAUACGUAGGUGGCAAGCGUUGUCCGGAUUUAUUGGGCGUAAAGCGAGCGCAGGCGGUUCCUUAAGUCUGAUGUGAAAGCCCCCGGCUCAACCGGGGAGGGUCAUUGGAAACUGGGGAACUUGAGUGCAGAAGAGGAGAGUGGAAUUCCAUGUGUAGCGGUGAAAUGCGUAGAGAUGUGGAGGAAUACCGAUGGCGAAGGCAGCCUCCUGGGAUAACACUGACGUUCAUGCUCGAAAGCGUGGGUAGCAAACAGGAUUAGAUACCCUGGUAGUCCACGCCCUAAACGAUGUCAAUUAGCUGUUGGGCAACUUGAUUGCUUAGUAGCGUAGCUAACGCGUGAAAUUGACCGCCUGGGGAGUACGGUCGCAAGAUUAAAACUCAAAGGAAUUGACGGGGGCCCGCACAAGCGGUGGAGUAUGUGGUUUAAUUCGACGCAACGCGAAGAACCUUACCAGGUCUUGACAU
rnacentral:rRNA from 1 species